CAAUAGCGUAUAUUAAAGUUGUUGCGGUUAAAAAAGCUCGUAGUUGAAUUUCUGGUUGUGAAAGAUGGUCCGUUCCUCAAGGAAUGUGUACUAAUCAUUCAUGGCCAUCCUCGGGGAGAAUGUGUGUUACUUUCAGUAGUCGUGCACAGGAACCCGUCAUUAUCUGUGAGCAAAAUAGAGUGUUCAAAGCAGGCUUAUGCCGUUGAAUACAUUAGCAUGGAAUAAUAAGAUAGGACCUUGGUACUAUUUUGUUGGUUUGCGUACCUAGGUAAUGAUUAAUAGGGACAGUUGGGGAUAUUACUAUUUCGUUGUCAGAGGUGAAAUUCUUGGAUUUACGAAAGAGUAACUACUGCGAAAGCAUUUAUCAAGGAUGUUUUUCAUUAAUCAAGAACGAAAGUUAGGGGAUCGAAGACGAUCAGAUACCA
rnacentral:rRNA from 1 species